CAAGGUUAGUGUUUCUAUAGGUUGGGGGCUUUCAUCAAGGUUAGUGUUUCUAUAGGUUGGGGGCUUUCAUCAAGGUUAGUGUUUCUGUAGGUUGGGGGCUUUCAUCAAGGUUAGUGUUUCUAUAGGUUGGGGGCUUUCAUCAAGGUUAGUGUUUCUAUAGGUUGGGGGCUUUCAUCAAGGUUAGUGUUUCUAUAGGUUGGGGGCUUUCAUCAAGGUGUUUCUUUAGGUUGGGGGCUUUCAUCAAGGUUAGUGUUUCUAUAGGUUGGGGGCUUUCAUCAAGGUUUGUGUUUCUAUAGGUUGGGGGCUUUCAUCAAGGUUAGUGUUUCUAUAGGUUGGGGGCUUUCAUCAAGGUUAGUGUUUCUAUAGGUU
ensembl:lncRNA